AAUAAAGGUAAAAUAAUCACUUCAUUUAAACAAAAAUAACACUUUGUAAUAUAAAACCUCCAAAUAAAGCAGCAAUACACAAAAUUAUCAUUGACAUAAAAUAUAUAAAUCAU